CUUUAAAAGCAUGGCAACUUCGUGCCGAUCCCGUCUGAUCCCGGAAGCUAAGCAGGGUCGGGCCUGGUUAGUAGUUGGAUGGGAGACCCCCUAGGAAGACCAGGUGCUGUAGGCU
rnacentral:rRNA from 1 species